CGCCUCCCGGGUUCAAACGAUUCUCCUGCCUCAGCCUCCUGAGUAGCUGGGAUUACAGGGUGGGGUCAAGGUGCUCAUCACAGGUCCUUGGACCGAAGCCGCCGAGCAUUACUCCUGUGUCUUUGAUCACAUCGCAGUGCCAGCCUCACUUGUCCAGCCUGGUGUCUUACGCUGCUACUGUCCCGCCCAUGAGGUAGGGCUGGUGUCUUUGCAGGUGGCAGGGCGGGAGGGGCCC
rnacentral:lncRNA from 10 species